UAGUUGGUAAAAGAUCAAUCUAAGACUGUGCUCAAACGCUCAGUAGCUGACGAGCAACGGGUAGAAAAAUCCUAAGAUUGAAGCCAUGUAACAAAGUACAUCAUUCAUGAGUGCAAGCCAAUGAAUAGGUUGUAACAUAA
rfam:Bacillus solimangrovi strain GH2-4 NODE_27_length_50971_cov_1.85265_ID_5111, whole genome shotgun sequence.